CACGAACGCUGGCGGCAGGCUUAACACAUGCAAGUCGAGCGCCCCGCAAGGGGAGCGGCAGACGGGUGAGUAACGCGUGGGAAUCUACCCAUCUCUACGGAAUAACGCAUGGAAACGUGUGCUAAUACCGUAUACGUCCUUCGGGAGAAAGAUUUAUCGGAGAUGGAUGAGCCCGCGUUGGAUUAGCUAGUUGGUGGGGUAAAGGCCUACCAGGGCGACGAUCCAUAGCUGGUCUGAGAGGAUGAUCAGCCACACUGGGACUGAGACACGGCCCAGACUCCUACGGGAGGCAGCAGCGGGGAAUAUUGGACAAUGGGCGCAAGCCUGAUCCAGCCAUGCCGCGUGAGUGAUGAAGGCCCUAGGGUUGUAAAGCUCUUUCACCGGUGAAGAUAAUGACGGUAACCGGAGAAGAAGCCCCGGCUAACUUCGUGCCAGCCGCCGCUGUAACAC
rnacentral:rRNA from 1 species